GGGUCAGUAGGUUGGUCGUGCCACCGGUACGUACUGGUCUCACUGAUUCCUCCUCCCUGAAGAACCGUAAUGCCAUUAAUUUGGUGUUGCGGGGAAACAGGACUGUUACUUUGAAAAAAUUAGAGUGUUUAAAGCAAGCUAACGCUUGAAUACAUUAGCAUGGAAUAAUGUAAUAGGACGAUCGAUCCUAUUUUGUUGGUUUCUAGGAUUGACGUA
rnacentral:rRNA from 1 species